UGCGGUGCUGGUGUUCACCCUGCCAGACCGAGGGCCUGUUCCUCUCCUCUGCUCCACAGAGUUGGGGAGUCAGGGAGGGGCAAUUUCUAUUCUCACACGUUUUAAAUAGCUGUUACUUCACUUACCCUCCUUUGCUCUGGGCUGUGUGCUCUGAUAGCUCCGCCUGCCCUCAGGCAGUCACUGCCACAGCUUUGCCUCCAUUUUGUUACUCGAUUUGAGCAUCUUUACACCUAAAUUUGUAACCUGAAGAGAGAUCCAGAGGCAGUGCCACCACCCCACAGACCCUGGGCUGUGUUACCCCACUUUGAGACAUCUCAUUGUGGGAGCUCCAGGGCAAACUCCCUCUCCACAGGUGCAGGAACGACAUUUCCAGGCAAGCUUAAACAGAAGAGACAGCAGAGCAAACACUCCAGCCCAGCCCAUCACUGGCUUCUGUGUUGGAUUAAACAAGAUCACAAUUCAGACCUCUCAUUGGAGGUAAGAAAAAUAAAUGAUGUCUUCCAUGUUACUUGUGCCAAAGGGGUUUCUUUUUUCCCCUUCUGGUGUUUUGAGCGUGCAGUGGACACCUGUGCAUUGGAGAAGGCACCUCUGCUGCACUCAGUUUUCAUGAGGAGCAGUUUACCAAAUGGGAAAAACUAG
rnacentral:lncRNA from 1 species